rnacentral:sRNA from 1 species
GCCAGGCGGGGUGGUGCAUGCCUGUAAUCCCAGCUGCUCGGGAGGCAAAGGCAGGAGGAUUAUGAGUUCAAAGCUAGCCACAGCAAUUUAGUGAGGCACUAAGCAACUCAGUGAGACUCUGUCUCUA